rnacentral:lncRNA from 1 species
GCCUCAGAAAAAUCACAUUAACAUGCUAAUAUAUCAUAUUAAGGCAUAUCAGUAAUAUCCCAACAAUCAAUAAAUCUAAAUCUGUUAUAACUGAUAUCGUAUGUGUGUGUUCAACGACCAUGCUAACCAUUGAAAAACAAAAUAUGAAAGAUAAUAGAUUUCUUAGAAGGCAUCAUACAGUGCAAACAUGAGAACUCCUUAAAUAAACUAGAUUCGGCUAAAAUCAAAUAGUUACCAAAAUCCAAGGGUCAAAAUGGAAUACUUAUGCUUUUUUUUUCUUUUUUUUUUACUUAACGGGGGCUUUUUGCACUUUUCCCGCUUUAUUCUCUCUUUUUUUUCAUGACUAUGCACUGUCCUAUUCCCUUAGGCUUUUCAGUGUUACCUUAACGAGCUUUCGACCAACGACUCCCAAGCUAUUAAGACCUUAGGGCGCUAGGUGUAGAGACAAUCCCCUCGGGCUUACUUACUCAAGUAACAAAGGCACAAAACUAAACAAGCAUGCCACGGUUUUAUUUUAUUUAUUUAUUUAUUUAUUUUUUUAAAGCUUAUAUAUUCCAAAUAUUUUCCUCCCAAACUUGAGUUUAUGUCUAAAUUCAGUCAUCACUAGCUAUUCAAAUUGUUCCUUCAUUUCACUAACAUUCAUCCUUUAGAACGCUAUUAUCUUUCCAUUUAAACUUUCUUAGCCAACAUGGUCUUUUCUCAAAACGUGCUAUCCUGAUAAUAUCAGUGUCAAACAGAUAAAGAUUUAAAUUAUGUCAAGAAAAUCACAUUACUUGCUUAACAAUCCAUAGUCCAUAGUAAACUUAUUUAUGAAAUUUUAAUUUC